UAUAAAAUAUUAGCGACUGAGUCAGAUACCGUCUGGUAUCUGAUCACGAGGAGAAAGUAAUUCGACUAUCAGCGGGUACUUUCAGGUUGAGAUUGUCAACCUAAAGAUUUUCUUAAUCACUCAAAGCAAUUUGAGAAACAAAAAGAAGAUCAAAUAAUUAC
rnacentral:ncRNA from 2 species